rnacentral:rRNA from 1 species
CCUACGGGAGGCAGCAGUAGGGAAUUUUCGUCAAUGGGCGCAAGCCUGAACGAGCAAUGCCGCGUGAACGAGGAAGGUCUUCGGAUCGUAAAGUUCUGUUGAAGGGGAAAAAGAGCGGAGAGAGGAAAUGGUCUCCGAUUGAUAUUACCCUUCGAGGAAGUCACGGCUAACUACGUGCCAGCAGCCGCGGUAAUACGUAGGUGGCGAGCGUUAUCCGGAAUGAUUGGGCGUAAAGGGUGCGUAGGCGGCCUGCUAAGUCUGGAGUGAAAGGUACCGGCUCAACCGGUACAGGCUCUGGAAACGGGCGGGCUAGAGAGCAGGAGAGGGCGGUGGAACUCCAUGUGUAGCGGUAAAAUGCGUAGAUAUAGGGAAGAACACCAGUGGCGAAGGCGGCCGCCUGGCCUGUGACUGACGCUGAGGCACCAAAGCGUGGGGAGCAAAUAGGAUUAGAUACCCGGGUAGUC